rnacentral:rRNA from 1 species
CAGCGGCGGACGGGUGAGUAACACGUGGGCAACCUGCCUGUAAGACUGGGAUAACUCCGGGAAACCGGGGCUAAUACCGGAUAACUCUUUUCCUCACAUGAGGAAAAGCUGAAAGAUGGUUUCGGCUAUCACUUACAGAUGGGCCCGCGGCGCAUUAGCUAGUUGGUGAGGUAACGGCUCACCAAGGCCACGAUGCGUAGCCGACCUGAGAGGGUGAUCGGCCACACUGGGACUGAGACACGGCCCAGACUCCUACGGGAGGCAGCAGUAGGGAAUCUUCCGCAAUGGACGAAAGUCUGACGGAGCAACGCCGCGUGAGUGAUGAAGGUUUUCGGAUCGUAAAACUCUGUUGUCAGGGAAGAACAAGUACCGGAGUAACUGCCGGUACCUUGACGGUACCUGACCAGAAAGCCACGGCUAACUACGUGCCAGCAGCCGCGGUAAUACGUAGGUGGCAAGCGUUGUCCGGAAUUAUUGGGCGUAAAGCGCGCGCAGGCGGUUCCUUAAGUCUGAUGUGAAAGCCCCCGGCUCAACCGGGGAGGGUCAUUGGAAACUGGGGAACUUGAGUGCAGAAGAGAAGAGUGGAAUUCCACGUGUAGCGGUGAA